rnacentral:lncRNA from 1 species
ACUCCCUCUGUCCACGAAAAAGUGCCCUACUUACCCCUUUUUUUUUUGUCCACGAAAAAGUGCCCUGUUUACCUUUUUGUACAUUCAUACCCUUUACUUUUCAAUUUAUUUACAACUUAUGUCAUUAAUAAAUCCACACUUUUAUUUAAUCUAUGCAAUUAACCCACACAAUUAAUCCCAUUUAUUUAUUUAUUUUCUUAAUUUUCAGUUUAUUUAUUUAUUUAUUUUCUGAAUUUCAAGUUUAUUUAUUUAUUUAUUUUUGAAUUUUUAGUUUAUUUAUUUCCAGUUUAUUUAUUUAUUUAUU